rnacentral:rRNA from 1 species
AGCGAACGCUGGCGGCAGGCUUAACACAUGCAAGUCGAGCGGGCGUAGCAAUACGUCAGCGGCAGACGGGUGAGUAACGCGUGGGAACGUACCUUUUGGUUCGGAACAACACAGGGAAACUUGUGCUAAUACCGGAUAAGCCUUUACGGGGAAAGAUUUAUCGCCGAAAGAUCGGCCCGCGUCUGAUUAGCUAGUUGGUGAGGUAACGGCUCACCAAGGCGACGAUCAGUAGCUGGUCUGAGAGGAUGAUCAGCCACAUUGGGACUGAGACACGGCCCAAACUCCUACGGGAGGCAGCAGUGGGGAAUAUUGGACAAUGGGCGCAAGCCUGAUCCAGCCAUGCCGCGUGAGUGAUGAAGGCCCUAGGGUUGUAAAGCUCUUUUGUGCGGGAAGAUAAUGACGGUACCGCAAGAAUAAGCCCCGGCUAACUUCGUGCCAGCCGCCGCAGUAA